AACGAACGCUGGCGGCAGGCUUAACGCAUGCAAGUCGAACGGAUCCUUCGGGAUUAGUGGCAGACGGGUGAGUAACGCGUGGGAACGUACCCUUUGCUACGGAAUAACUCAGGGAAACUUGAGCUAAUACCGUAUGUGCCCUACGGGGGAAAGAUUUAUCGGCAAAGGAUCGGCCCGCGUUGGAUUAGCUAGUUGGUGGGGUAAUGGCCUACCAAGGCGACGAUCCAUAGCUGGUCUGAGAGGAUGAUCAGCCACACUGGGACUGAGACACGGCCCAGACUCCUACGGGAGGCAGCAGUGGGGAAUAUUGGACAAUGGGCGCAAGCCUGAUCCAGCCAUGCCGCGUGAGUGAUGAAGGUCUUAGGAUUGUAAAGCUCUUUCACCGGUGAAGAUAAUGACGGUAGCCGGAGAAGAAGCCCCGGCUAACUUCGUG
rnacentral:rRNA from 1 species